AUUUGUUAAGUGCUUACUAUGUGCAGAGCACUGUUCUAAGCAAUGGGGGAGAUACAGGGCGAUCAGGUUGUCCCACGUGGGGCUCACAGUUUUAAUCCCCAUUUUACAGAUGAGGUAACUGAGGCCCAGAGAAGUUAAGUGACUUGCCCACAGUCACAGAGCUGACAAGUGGCAGAUCUGGGAUUCGAACCCAUGACCUCUAACUCCCAAGCCCAGGUUCUUUCCACUGAGCCAUGCUGCUUCUCUACUACAAAAAGAACCCUUUGGCCUCAGUCACCAGGCUAUAUCAGAUGAAAGUGUAUUUCAGUGGCCUGAAUUACCCAGAUAGUUUGCGUGUAUAAAUCCAACGAUGAUCUCAGAGAAAUCAAAGGAGGUUAACACUGCCCCAAGCGAGUCAGAAUGGCCUAAAUGACUGCAUAAUUGAAAAACGGCUUUUUUCCCUUUUAGAAUCUUUGACCCCUGAGACUCAUUCCUAACCACCAAGUUCCUCUUCAAUGUCUCUCCCUUCUUCUUGCCAGACUCCCAGAUGAAUUCCGUGUCCCUCGUCCAGCAGACUUACCCUUCUCUCUUCCUCUGAUACCCACAAAAUGAAGCUCCUUCUUUGGGCCUGCCUCAUGUGCAUUGUUUUGGCCAAGAAGAGGCAACAUUCUUCCUCCAGUGAAGAGGACCAUGACCACAGACCACCACCACCAGCGAGGCCUUCUGGAUCGGAUCAUGAACCCCCCUUCCAUCCUAGGGCCCCCUGUCCAGCGGUUCCCCCUCCACCUCCACCAGCCCCUGGCCCUCCGGCACCCCCUGCCCCUCCAGCACCCCCUGCCAUCCCAGAACCCGUGGCUCCCCCUGCCCCUCCAGCUCCCCCUGCCCCUCCAGCACCCCCUGCCAUCCCAGAACCCGUGGCACCCCCUGCCCCUCCAGCUCCCCCUGCCAUGCCAAGACCUGGGGAACCCCCUGCCCCUCGAGCCCCUGAAAUGCUUCUUGCUAAUCCAGCCCCAGAAGCUCUCACGGUGGAGUAGUGUCAUUACCAUGGCUGAAUAAAGCUGGAAAACCUGAUUUUUCAUUCAGAUUUUACACUUUGGUGGCUUUUGAGUAAAUCCCCUCUGCGUAUGCACUCUGGCUUUGGGUGUCUGUUUUCCCACACAGGGAUCCCUGGUUGGAGAGAAGAUUUGAAUUUCACAAGCCCAGAGAAGAAAAAAUAUAUAUAAAUGUGGACAAGGAUUCUGCAGAUUUUCUGUUCCACAUCUCUUCCUUCUGGCAAAAAUGUGCCUAAAGCCUUUGGAAGCAGCUGAUCUCAGGCUAGGACUCAGAAGCAAACCACCUUCCCAGGGAACCCUACUUCCCUUAAAUCAUUUCCUCAACUUAUUCUCCUUUUUUCAUCACUUAAUUAUCAUACAGAAAGGAGUUGGCAUCCUGCAAUUACUGAGCCAACAGUUGAGAUCAGCUGCUAUUCCAAUAUGAAGUAUGAGAAAACCAAACUCGGCAAUCCAUCAGAGUUGCAAAAAGCCAUAGCUUGGAUCAUGAUGGGCAUUUUCCAAAAUACUGAGUUAUACUUUCAGUGAAAAGAAGACACUGAGCUGUUGACAUGGUAAAAAAAAACAUAGAAGUAUUGAUGAUGUAGGCUAGAAAUAUACUUCUAGGCUUUAAAAAUAUGUAUAAGAGAGACUUGAGAAAUAAAAAGCUG
rnacentral:lncRNA from 1 species